AGUGAACGCUGGCGGUAGGCCUAACACAUGCAAGUCGAACGGCAGCACAGGAGAGCUUGCUCUCUGGGUGGCGAGUGGCGGACGGGUGAGGAAUACAUCGGAAUCUACUCUGUCGUGGGGGAUAACGUAGGGAAGCUUACGCUAAUACCGCAUACGACCUACGGGUGAAAGCAGGGGACCUUCGGGCCUUGCGCGAUUGGAUGAGCCGAUGUCGGAUUAGCUAGUUGGCGGGGUAAAGGCCCACCAAGGCGACGAUCCGUAGCUGGUCUGCGAGGAUGACCAGCCCCACUGGAACUGAGACACGGUCCAGACUCCGACGGGGGGCAGCAGUGGGGAAGAUUGGACAAGGGGCGCAAGCCUGAUCCAGCCAUACCGCGUGGGUGAAGAAGGCCUUCGGGUUGUAAAGCCCUUUUGUUGGGAAAGAAAUCCAGCUGGCUAAUACCCGGUUGGGAUGACGGUACCCAAAGAAUAAGCACCGGCUAACUUCGUGCCAGCAGCCGCCGUAA
rnacentral:rRNA from 1 species